rnacentral:rRNA from 1 species
CCUACGGGAGGCAGCAGUGGGGAAUAUUGCGCAAUGGGGGAAACCCUGAUGCAGCGACGCCGCGUGGGCGAAGAAGUAUUUCGGUAUGUAAAGCCCUAUCAGCAGGGAAGAAGAAAUGACGGUACCUGCGUAAGAAGCACCGGCUAAAUACGUGCCAGCAGCCGCGGUAAUACGUAGGGUGCAAGCGUUAUCCGGAUUUACUGGGUGUAAAGGGAGCGCAGGCGGCACGGCAAGCCUGAUGUGAAAGCCCGCGGCCCAACCGCGGGACUGCAUUGGGAACUACCGGGCUGGAGUGCCGGAGAGGUAGGCGGAAUGCCUAGUGUAGCGGUGAAAUGCGUAGAUAUUAGGAGGAACACCAGUGGCGAAGGCGGCCUACUGGACGGUGACUGACGCUGAGGCUCGAAAGCGUGGGGAUCAAACAGGAUUAGAUACCCCAGUAGUC